rnacentral:rRNA from 1 species
UGGGGAAUUUUGGACAAUGGGCGCAAGCCUGAUCCAGCCAUGCCGCGUGCGGGAAGAAGGCCUUCGGGUUGUAAACCGCUUUUGUCAGGGAAGAAAUCUUCUGAGUUAAUACCUCGGGAGGAUGACGGUACCUGAAGAAUAAGCACCGGCUAACUACGUGCCAGCAGCCGCGGUAAUACGUAGGGUGCAAGCGUUAAUCGGAAUUACUGGGCGUAAAGCGUGCGCAGGCGGUUUUGUAAGACAGAGGUGAAAUCCCCGGGCUCAACCUGGGAACUGCCUUUGUGACUGCAAGGCUUGAGUGCGGCAGAGGGGGGAUGGAAUUCCGCGUGUAGCAGUGAAAUGCGUAGAUAUGCGGAGGAACACCGAUGGCGAAGGCAAUCCCCUGGGCCUGCACUGACGCUCAUGCACGAAAGCGUGGGGAGCAAACAGGAUUAGAUAGCCCCUGGUAGUCCACGCCCUAAAACGAUGUCAACUGGUUGUUGGG